GAUGAAGAACGCAGUGAAAUGUGAUAAGUAAUGUGAAUUGCAGAAUUCAGUGAAUCAUCGAAUCUUUGAACGCACCUUGCGCCCCUUGGUAUCCCGAGGGGCAUGCCUGUUCGAGCGUCAUUUCACCACUCAAGCCUGGCUUGGUGUUGGGCGACGUCCCCUUUGGGGACGCGCCUCGAAACGCUCGGCGGCGUGGCACCGGCUUUAAGCGUAGCAGAAUCUUUCGCUUUGGAAGUCGGGGCCCCGUCUGCCGGAAGACCUACUCGCAAGGUUGACCUCGGAUCAGGCAGGGAUACCCGCUGAACUUAAGCAUAUCAAUAAGCGGAGGA
rnacentral:misc_RNA from 1 species